GCAUAUCAAUAAGCGGAGGAAAAGAAACCAACAGGGAUUGCCCUAGUAACGGCGAGUGAAGCGGCAACAGCUCAAAUUUGAAAUCUGGCCUCACGGUCCGAAUUGUAAUUUGUAGAGGAUGUUUCUGGCGACGUGUCUUCCGAGUUCCCUGGAACGGGACGCCAUAGAGGGUGAGAGCCCCGUCCGGUCGUACACCUAGCCUCUGUGAAACUCCUUCGACGAGUCGAGUAGUUUGGGAAUGCUGCUCUAAAUGGGAGGUAUACGUCUUCUAAAGCUAAAUACCGGCCAGAGACCGAUAGCGCACAAGUAGAGUGAUCGAAAGAUGAAAAGCACUUUGAAAAGAGGGUUAAAUAGUACGUGAAAUUGCUGAAAGGGAAGCGCUUAUGACCAGACUUGGGCUCGGUGAAUCAUCCGGCGUUCUCGCCGGUGCACUUUGCCGUCCCAGGCCAGCAUCAGUUCGCGCCGGGGGAUAAAGGUUUCGGGAAUGUAGCUCCCUCGGGAGUGUUAUAGCCCGUUGCGUAAUACCCUGGCGUGGACUGAGGUCCGCGCUCUGCAAGGAUGCUGGCGUAAUGGUCAUCAGUGACCCGUCUUGAAACACGGACCAAGGAGUCGUCUUCGUAUGCGAGUGUUCGGGUGUCAAACCCCUACGCGUAAUGAAAGUGAACGUAGGAGAGAGCUUCGGCGCAUCUCCGACCGAUCCUGAUGUUCUCGGAUGGAUUUGAGUAAGAGCAUACGGGGCCGGACCCGAAAGAAGGUGAACUAUGCCUGUAUAGGGUGAAGCCAGAGGAAACUCUGGUGGAGGCUCGCAGCGGUUCUGACGUGCAAAUCGAUCGUCAAAUAUGGGCAUGGGGGGCGAAAGACUAAUCGAACCUUCUAGUAGCUGGGUUUCCGCCGAAG
rnacentral:rRNA from 1 species